UAAGAUUUUUUCCCUCGGAUUUGUAGGUACUAAGAAUAAGCCAGGAAGAGGAAGAAAGAGAGAGCUCAAGAGCACUAGGAAUGGGAACAUGAAGGAACGCUGAACUUGUUUGUUUCCGCCUCUAGUUUUGGAGGUGCAAAUAUUAGUUUUGGUGCUUUCCUGAUGCCUCCCAUUCCUACCGUUCUUGUGCACUCCUUCCUCUUCCUUGUGUGCUUAUGUGCAAGCUUUGACGAUGAAACCAUAGACAUGUGUGCACAUAUUUACAUAAAUGUGAGAUCUCAAAGGCGAGUUGAGAAGAUGGAGAAAAGAGGGCAUAAGAGCAGUUGGAGUGGGAAUAUGGAGGAAGCCUAACUUGCUUAGUUUUUCACCUAUGAAUUGAGGUCUAAAAAAUGAUCUAGGAGAGGGGCUAAGAGCAGCGGGAAUGAGCACAAAGAGGAAAGCUUAACUAGUUGUUCUUCACCUCUUGUAUUGAGGAAUUUAGACAUGUGCUCCAGAAGCACAACAAAAUGGAAGACAUGCUUGGAACCCAUGACAUGAUUCCUCCGUGAACUCCAACGAAGUAGGCCUCCGUAGUGAUUUUUCAACAUCGUAGAGAACUGAGUGUGAACCAUGGCACGCUUAUAACUAAGGGAAUCUCAUUGCGAGAAGACAUAAAGUAAAGUCAAGUGUAUCAAGAGAAUUCAUUAACAAAACUAAUAUAGUAUCGAUGACCCCCUUUCGAAGUCAA